UGUGAUGAGUUGAGGGCUUUCCCAC
rnacentral:piRNA from 1 species